rnacentral:rRNA from 1 species
UACGGGGGGGGCAAGCGUUGUUCGGAAUUACUGGGCGUAAAGGGCUCGUAGGCGGCCAACUAAGUCCGACGUGAAAUCCCCAGGCUUAACCUGGGAACUGCGUCGGAUACUGGAUGGCUUGAAUCCGGGAGAGGGAUGCGGAAUUCCAGGUGUAGCGGUGAAAUGCGUAGAUAUCUGGAGGAACACCCGUGGCGAAAGCGGCUCUCUGGGACGGUACUGACGCUGAGACGCGAAAGCGUGGGGAGCAAACAGG